rnacentral:rRNA from 1 species
UACGUAGGGGGGCUAGCGUUGUCCCGGAUUUAUUGGGCGUAAAGAGCUCGUAGGUGGUUCGGUAAGUCGGAUGUGAAAUCUCCAGGCUCAACCUGGAGGGGUCAUUCGAUACUGCCGUGACUAGAGUUCGGUAGAGGAGUGUGGAAUUCCUGGUGGAGCGGUGAAAUGCGCAGAGAUCAGGAGGAACACCCGUAGCGAAGGCGGCACUCUGGGCCGAUACUGACACUGAGGAGCGAAAGCGUGGGGAGCGAACAGG